CCUACGGGCGGCAGCAGUGAGGAAUAUUGGUCAAUGGCCGAGAGGCUGAACCAGCCAAGUCGCGUGAGGGAAGACGGCCCUAAGGGUUGUAAACCUCUUUUGUCGAGGAGCAAAGAGAGGCACGUGUGACUCAUUGAGAGUACCCGAAGAAAAAGCAUCGGCUAACUCCGUGCCAGCAGCCGCGGUAAUACGGGGGAUGCGAGCGUUAUCCGGAUUUAUUGGGUUUAAAGGGUGCGUAGGCGGAGUUGCAAGUCAGCGGUAAAAUUUCGGGGCUCAACCCCGUACUGCCGUUGAAACUGCAUCCCUUGAGUGCGCGAGAAGUAUGCGGAAUGCGUGGUGUAGCGGUGAAAUGCAUAGAUAUCACGCAGAACUCCGAUGGCGAAGGCAGCAUACCGGCGCGCAACUGACGCUCAUGCACGAAAGCGUGGGUAUCGAACAGGAUUAGAUACCCCAGUAGUC
rnacentral:rRNA from 1 species